rnacentral:rRNA from 1 species
GACGUAGGGCGCGAGCGUUGUCCGGAUUUAUUGGGCGUAAAGAGCUCGUAGGCGGCUUGUCGCGUCGACUGUGAAAACCCACGGCUCAACUGUGGGCUUGCAGUCGAUACGGGCAGGCUAGAGUUCGGUAGGGGAGACUGGAAUUCCUGGUGUAGCGGUGAAAUGCGCAGAUAUCAGGAGGAACACCGGUGGCGAAGGCGGGUCUCUGGGCCGAUACUGACGCUGAGGAGCGAAAGCGUGGGGAGCAAACGGG